GUGCUCGCUUCGGCAGCACAUAUACUAAAAUUGGAAUGGUACAGAAAAGAUUAGCAUGGCCCCUGUGCAAGGAUGACAUGUAAAUUUGUGAAGCGUUCCAUAUUUUU
rnacentral:snRNA from 1 species